rnacentral:rRNA from 1 species
UGGGGAAUAUUGCACAAUGGGCGAAAGCCUGAUGCAGCGACGCCGCGUGAGGGAUGACGGCCUUCGGGUUGUAAACCUCUUUCAGCAGGGAAGAAGCGAAAGUGACGGUACCUGCAGAAGAAGCGCCGGCUAACUACGUGCCAGCAGCCGCGGUAAUACGUAGGGCGCAAGCGUUGUCCGGAAUUAUUGGGCGUAAAGAGCUCGUAGGCGGUUAGUCGCGUCUGCUGUGAAAACUCGAGGCUCAACCUCGGGCUUGCAGUGGGUACGGGCUGACUAGAGUGCGGUAGGGGUGACUGGAAUUCCUGGUGUAGCGGUGGAAUGCGCAGAUAUCAGGAGGAACACCGAUGGCGAAGGCAGGUCACUGGGCCGCAACUGACGCUGAGGAGCGAAAGCAUGGGGAGCGAACAGGAUUAGAUACCCUGGUAGUCCAUGCCGUAAACGUUGGGCACUAGGUGUGGGGUCCAUUCCACGGAUUCCGUGCCGCAGCAAACGCAUUAAGUGCCCCGCCUGGGGAGUACGGCCGCAAGGCUAAAACUU